CCUACGGGGGGCAGCAGUGAGGAAUAUUGGUCAAUGGGCGGGAGCCUGAACCAGCCAAGUCGCGUGAGGGAUGACGGCCCUAUGGGUUGUAAACCUCUUUUGCCGGGGAGCAAAGUGCCGCACGUGUGCGGUUUGGAGAGUACCCGGAGAAAAAGCAUCGGCUAACUCCGUGCCAGCAGCCGCGGUAAUACGGAGGAUGCGAGCGUUAUCCGGAUUUAUUGGGUUUAAAGGGUGCGUAGGCGGAUCGUUAAGUCAGUGGUCAAAUUGAGGGGCUCAACCCCUUCCCGCCAUUGCAACUGGCGCUC
rnacentral:rRNA from 1 species